rnacentral:rRNA from 1 species
CAGUCGCCGCGGUAAUACGUAGGGUGCGAGCGUUAAUCGGAAUUACUGGGCGUAAAGCGUGCGCAGGCGGUUCGUUAAGACAGAUGUGAAAUCCCCGGGCUUAACCUGGGAACUGCAUUUGUGACUGGCGAGCUAGAGUAUGGCAGAGGGGGGUAGAAUUCCACGUGUAGCAGUGAGAUGCGUAGAGAUGUGGAGGAAUACCGAUGGCGAAGGCAGCCCCCUGGGCCAAUACUGACGCUCAUGCACGAAAGCGUGGGGAGCAAACAGGAUUAGAUACCCCAGUAGUCCCUGUCUCUUAUAC